rnacentral:rRNA from 1 species
UACCAGCUCUCCGAGUGGUAGGGAUGUUUAUUGGGCUUAAAGCGUCCGUAGCCGGCUUAGCAAGUCUCCCGUUAAAUUCAGCGACCUAAUCGUUGAGCCGCGGGAGAUACUACUAGGCUAGGAGGCGGGAGAGGUCAACGGUACUUCCGGGGUAGGGGUGAAAUCCUAUAAUCCCGGGAGGACCACCAGUGGCGAAGGCUGUUGACUAGAACGCGCUCGACGGUGAGGGACGAAAGCUGGGGGAGCGAACCGGAUUAGAUACCCGGGUAGUCCCAGCUGUAAACGAUGCGAGCUAGGUGUUGGGGUGGCUACGUGCCACUUCAGUGCCGCAGGGAAGCCAUUAAGCUCGCCGCCUGGGGAGUACGGCCGCAAGGCUGAAACUUAAAGGAAUUGGCGGGGGAGCACCACAAGGCGUGAAGCUUGCGGUUC